rnacentral:lncRNA from 1 species
GAUUAGUUAACUGCGGCCUGAUGGCCUAGGGCUGGUUUCGAACUCCUGGCCUCAAGCGAUCCACCUGCCUUGGCCUCCCAAAGUAUUGGGAUUACAGACAUGAGCCACCACACCCGGCCACACAUGUUUUUAUAACCAUAUAAUUGGGAUGUGUGUGGUGAUUUACACCUGUAAUCCCAGCACUUUGGGAAGCCAAAGCAGGAGGAUCGCUUGAGCCUAGGAGUUCAAGGCUGCAGUGAAUUAUGAUUAUGUCACUGUGCUCCAGCCUAGGCAGCAGGGCAAGACCCUGUCUCUACAAAAAAUUGUUUAAAAAUUAGCUGGGUAUGGUAGUGCACGCCUGUAGUCCCAGCUACUGGGGAGGCUGAAGUGGGAGAAUUACUGGAGCCCAGGAGUUCAAGGCUGCAGUGAGCUGUCCUGUGCCACUUGUAUGGCAGCCUGGGCAACAAGGCAAGACCCUGUCUCCAAACAAACAAGCAUAUAAUUGGGCCAAGAAAAUGUUACAUUUCCCUGAAUAUUGUAAGGA